GCGGGCGUCGUAUAAUGGCUAUUACCCGAGCUUCCCAAGCUCGUUACGUGAGUUCGAUUCUCAUCGCCCGCU
rnacentral:tRNA from 1 species